AGUGAACGCUGGCGGUAGGCCUAACACAUGCAAGUCGAACGGCAGCACAGUAAGAGCUUGCUCUUACGGGUGGCGAGUGGCGGACGGGUGAGGAAUACAUCGGAAUCUACUUUUUCGUGGGGGAUAACGUAGGGAGACUUACGCUAAUACCGCAUACGACCUACGGGUGAAAGCAGGGGAUCUUCGGACCUUGCGCGAUUGAAUGAGCCGAUGUCGGAUUAGCUAGUUGGCGGGGUAAAGGCCCACCAAGGCGACGAUCCGUAGCUGGUCUGAGAGGAUGAUCAGCCACACUGGAACUGAGACACGGACCAGACUCCUACGGGAGGCAGCAGUGGGGAAUAUUGGACAAUGGGCGCAAGCCUGAUCCAGCCAUACCGCGUGGGUGAAGAAGGCCUUCGGGUUGUAAAGCCCUUUUGUUGGGAAAGAAAAGCAGCAGGUUAAUACCCCGCUGUUCUGACGGUACCCAAAGAAUAAGCACCGGCUAACUUCGUG
rnacentral:rRNA from 1 species